rnacentral:rRNA from 1 species
CAGCAGUAGCCGCGGUAAAACGAAGGGGGCUAGCGUUGUUCGGAUUUACUGGGCGUAAAGCGCACGUAGGCGGACUUUUAAGUCAGGGGUGAAAUCCCGGGGCUCAACCCCGGAACUGCCUUUGAUACUGGGAGUCUUGAGUUCGAGAGAGGUGAGUGGAAUUGCGAGUGUAGAGGUGAAAUUCGUAGAUAUCAGGAGGAACACCUGUGGCGAAAGCGGCUCACUGGACCAUAACUGACGCUGAGGCACGAAAGCUAGGGGAGCAAACAGGAUUAGAUACCCGCGUAGUCCCUGUCUCUUAUAC